rnacentral:rRNA from 1 species
UUCUGUUAAUGCCUUAGAUGUUCUGGGGCGGACGCGCGCUACACUGACGGAGCCAGCGAGUACUUCCUUGUCCGAAAGGUCCGGGUAAUCUUGUUAAACUCCGUCGUGCUGGGGAUAGAGCAUUGCAAUUAUUGCUCUUCAACGAGGAAUCCCUAGUAAGCGCAAGUCAUCAGCUUGCGUUGAUUACGUCCCUGCCCUUUGUACACACCGCCCGUCGCUACUACCGAUUGAAUGGCUCAGUGAGGCGUCCGGACUGGCCCAGAGAGGUGGGCAACUACCACUCAGGGCCGGAAAGCUCUCCAAACUCGGUCAUUUA